rnacentral:rRNA from 1 species
ACAUGGCUCUUUGUUUUAAAGAGAUAAAGAGUCGGACCUGCCCGGUGAAUAGUGAUUUUUAACGGCCGCGGUACCCUGACCGUGCAAAGGUAGCAUAAUCAUUUGCCUUUUAAUUAAAGGCUGGUAUGAAUGGUUUGACGAAAGCAAAGCUGUCUCUUAUCUAUUAUUUAAAAAUUAAUUUUGAUGUGAAGAAGCAUUAAUUAUUCUAAAAGACAAGAAGACCCUGUUGAGCUUUAGCGAGAUAAGAAAAUAAUUUUAUGAGUCAAAAAAAUAUCUUUUUUAUAUCUUUUUAGUUGGGGCGACUGAGGAACAAAAGAGCUUCCUUUUUUAUAAGAGAUUUAUUUAUUUAUGAUCCAGGAUAUUCUGAUUAGAAGAAUUAGUUACCACAGGGAUAACAGCGUAAUCCUUUUUUAGAGUUCUUAUCGAAA